rnacentral:rRNA from 1 species
UACGGGGGGAGCAAGCGUUGUUCGGAUUUACUGGGCGUAAAGGGCGCGUAGGCGGCGUGACAAGUCACUUGUGAAAUCUCCGGGCUUAACCCGGAGCGGCCAAGUGAUACUGUCGUGCUAGAGUGCGGAAGGGGCUACUGGAAUUCUCGGUGUAGCGGUGAAAUGCGCAGAGAUCAGGAGGAACACCCGUAGCGAAGGCGGCACUCUGGGCCGAUACUGACACUGAGGAGCGAAAGCGUGGGGAGCGAACAGG